UCGGCCUUUUGGCUAAGAUCAAGUGU
rnacentral:ncRNA from 6 species